rnacentral:rRNA from 1 species
UACGGAGGGUGCAAGCGUUAUCCGGAUUCACUGGGUUUAAAGGGUGCGUAGGUGGGCAGGUAAGUCAGUGGUGAAAUCUCCGGGCUUAACCCGGAAACUGCCAUUGAUACUAUCUGUCUUGAAUACCCUGGAGGUGAGCGGAAUAUGUCAUGUAGCGGUGAAAUGCUUAGAUAUGACAUAGAACACCCAUUGCGAAGGCAGCUCACUACGGGAAUAUUGACGCUGAGGCACGAAAGCGUGGGGAUCAAACAGG